rnacentral:rRNA from 1 species
UACGGAAGGGGCUAGCGUUGUUCGGAAUUACUGGGCGUAAAGCGUACGUAGGCGGCUUUGUAAGUUAGAGGUGAAAGCCUGGAGCUCAACUCCAGAACUGCCUUUAAGACUGCAUCGCUUGAAUCCAGGAGAGGUGAGUGGAAUUCCGAGUGUAGAGGUGAAAUUCGUAGAUAUUCGGAAGAACACCAGUGGCGAAGGCGGCUCACUGGACUGGUAUUGACGCUGAGGUACGAAAGCGUGGGGAGCAAACAGG